AGCUGCGGGGACGACUCUUCUGGAGGAAGCAGCGCGGGCUUGACCGGCGUCGGCCCGCCGCCUCUGCUGCCGCUUCGCCCCAAUCCGGUCCCUCUGGCCCGGCCUGACCCGGUCUGGCUUGUUCGGGCUCAGCGGCCGCGAGGCCGCAGCUCCCGAUGGAAAUCAUAUUACAUAGAAUACUUGGGUGACAUCUGCCUGAGAGAUCUCCAAGAAUUACAGGCCGUUGAUGCUCACUGCCAUCAGCUGCAUCCUCCCUAUGGCACUGGUAUCUCAUUCAGUUGCUAAACUUAUAUUAGUUAAUUUCCACUGGCAAGUUUCAGAGAUAUUGGACAGAUACAAGUCCAAUUCUGCUCAACUGCUUGUUGAGGCUCGAGUUCAGCCUAAUCCAUCAAAACAUGUUCCCACAUCCCAUCCCCCUCACCACUGUGCAGUGUGUAUGCAGUUUGUGCGAAAGGAAAACCUACUCUCUCUGGCCUGUCAGCACCAGUUUUGCCGCAGCUGCUGGGAGCAGCACUGCUCAGUUCUCGUCAAGGACGGCGUGGGCGUGGGUGAGUCU
rnacentral:sRNA from 1 species